UGGGGAAUAUUGCACAAUGGGCGAAAGCCUGAUGCAGCAACGCCGCGUGAGUGAUGAAGGUCUUCGGAUUGUAAAGCUCUGUCUUUUGGGACGAUAAUGACGGUACCAAAGGAGGAAGCCACGGCUAACUACGUGCCAGCAGCCGCGGUAAUACGUAGGUGGCGAGCGUUGUCCGGAUUUACUGGGCGUAAAGGGUGCGUAGGCGGAUGUUUAAGUGAGAUGUGAAAUACCCGGGCUUAACUUGGGUGCUGCAUUUCAAACUGGAUAUCUAGAGUGCAGGAGAGGAGAAUGGAAUUCCUAGUGUAGCGGUGAAAUGCGUAGAGAUUAGGAAGAACACCAGUGGCGAAGGCGAUUCUCUGGACUGUAACUGACGCUGAGGCACGAAAGCGUGGGUAGCAAACAGGAUUAGAUACCCUGGUAGUCCACGCCGUAAACGAUGAGUACUAGGUGUAGGAGGUAUCGACCCCUUCUGUGCCGCAGUAA
rnacentral:rRNA from 1 species